UUAUCAAGGCCUGAACGACAUCACUACUAAAAACAGGUACACACUCAGCAUUUUCGCCAGGUGUUACAACGGCUGCUGGAGAACCAGCUCUAUGUUAAGGCGGAGAAGUGCUUCUUCCAUGCCCAGUCGGUUCCGUUCCUGGGAUUCGUUGUUUCUGCGGGGGAGAUCAAAGCGGACCCCUGUACGGUAAGGGCCGUUGCCGAGUGGCCAUCUCCUGACUCUCGUAAAGCUCUGCAGCGGUUCCUGAGGUUUGCCAACUUCUAUCGGUGGUUCAUCCGGAACUUUGGUCAGAUUGCUGCACCUUUAACGGCACUCACCUCUCCCAAGGUACCGUUCAAGUGGAAUACUGGGGCACAGGAGGCCUUUGAUAAAUUAAAGUCCCGUUUUAUCUCUGCUCCUGUCUUGUCUAUUCCAGACCCUGAACGUCAAUUCAUUGUUGAGGUGGAUGCCUCAGAUGUGGGUGUGGUGCGGUCCUAUCUCAGCGGUCGCAUGAGGAUGGAAAGGUGCAUCCCUGUGCCCUCUUCUCCCACCGCCUGAGUCCCCCAGAACAGAAUUACGACAUAGGCUCCUGAGGGGGAGGAGUCAGCAGACACCAUCUUG